AACGUACGCUGGCGGCACGCCUAACACAUGCAAGUCGAACGAAGUAGCAAUACUUAGUGGCAGACGGGUGAGUAACAUGUAGGUAUCUGCCCUUUGGCCUGGAAUAACACGAGGAAACUUGUGCUAAUACCGGAUAAGUCUUUACGGAGAAAGCUUUAUGCACCAUUGGAUGAGCCUGCACUUGAUUAGUUUGUUGGUGGGGUAAUGGCCUACCAAGACUGUGAUCAAUAGCUGAUUUGAGAGGAUGAUCAGCCACAUUGGGACUGAGACACGGCCCAAACUCCUACGGGAGGCAGCAGUGGGGAAUCUUGCACAAUGGAGGAAACUCUGAUGCAGCGAUGCCGCGUGAGUGAAGAAGGCCCUUGGGUUGUAAAGCUCUUUCGUCGGGGAAGAAAAUGACUGUACCCGAAUAAGAAGGUCCGGCUAACUUCGUGCCAGCAGCCGCGGUAAUACGAAGGGACCUAGCGUAGUUCGGAAUUACUGGGCUUAAAGAGUUCGUAGGUGGUUGAAAAAGUUAGUGGUGAAAUCCCAGAGCUUAACUCUGGAACUGCCAUUAAAACUUUUCAGCUAGAGUAUGAUAGAGGAAAGCAGAAUUUCUAGUGUAGAGGUGAAAUUCGUAGAUAUUAGAAAGAAUACCAAUUGCGAAGGCAGCUUUCUGGAUCAUUACUGACACUGAGGAACGAAAGCAUGGGUAGCGAAGAGGAUUAGAUACCCUCGUAGUCCAUGCCGUAAACGAUGUGUGUUAGACGUUGGAAAUUUAUUUUCAGUGUCGCAGGGAAACCGAUAAACACACCGCCUGGGGAGUACGACCGCAAGGUUAAAACUCAAAUGAAUUGACGGGGACCCGCACAAGUAGUGGAGCAUGUGGUUUAAUUCGAAGAUACGCGCAGAACCUUACCAACACUUGACAUGUUCGUCGCGACUCUAAGAGAUUAGAGUUUUCGGUUCGGCCGGACGAAACACAGGUGCUGCAUGGCUGUCGUCAGCUCGUGUCGUGAGAUGUUGGGUUAAGUCCCGCAACGAGCGCAACCCUCACUUUUAGUUGCCAUCAUUAAGUUGGGCACUCUGAAAGAACUGCCAGUGAUAAGCUGGAGGAAGGUGGGGAUGACGUCAAGUCCUCAUGGCCCUUACGUGUUGGGCUACACACGUGCUACAAUGGUAUCUACAACAGGAAGCAAGACUGCGAAGUUAAGCAAAUCCCUAAAAGAUACCUCAGUUCGGAUUGCACUCUGCAACUCGAGUGCAUGAAGCUGGAAUUACUAGUAAUCGUGGAUCAGCGUGCCACGGUGAAUGCGUUCCCGGGUCU
rnacentral:rRNA from 1 species